rnacentral:lncRNA from 1 species
AAGCCAGGACCCAUGGAGUCUGAUCUACAACACAAGCAGUAGCAGUUCCACAUCUCCCUACCACCUCUUAUUUCCUACGAAGUCUUUCUGCCUGAAACUGGAAAACCCGAACUAUUAUUGAGGAAGUGAAGCCCUUCCAUUUGAAUCCUGAGAAAGACGCGCUCAAAGAACCCAGCGAACAAAGGAGAGGGUUGGAGCCCACGCAAAACAUGGGUGUGAUAAAGCCACACGCGACCUGAGCCCCCACCCUCAGUAACUACUCUCCAGCGCCCACCGGGAGGAGGGGUCCGGGGAAAGGAUUGGCAUCCUCUGCUUCUGCAGAAAACAUGGCUACCAACAGCUUCUGUAUCCACCUGCGGAGGAGACUGACUGCUCUGUUAUUCCCCCAGCAUCUGUGAAGAGGCUCUGACUGGCUAAAGUGUUGGUAUAGUGAUCACCCCAGGGUUAGGCAACCAUGGCUGGUGAAAAGGAAAAACGUUAUGAACCUGGCUGUGCGGAGCUACCUGAGGAAGCUUGUAGGAGAAGGGUCAGUUUGCAGAGAAAGGGGGGCCUGGGCAGAUGACGCAAGAGGUGCCCAUUACAUCCCUCUAGAGGAAGGAGUCUGUAGCUUUAGGGGAAGACAGAGCCACAAGAUGGAAGGAGCUUGGAUGUCUGAACUAUUCCAUGGAGAAAAGCUGCAGCCAACGAAGAACACCUGCAAUGGACUCUUAACCUGGGGGUGACGACAACCACUGAAAUAUGCUGCAUCUUAGUCCAGGGAUUUUUAAAGUGUGGUUCCUGGAAGAGCUGGAUCAGAGUCAUCUGUGUUGAUGGUUUAACAUAAAGAUUUUCGAGCCCCAAGACUCAAGUAGGACAAGGAAUUUGAAUUUUUAAGCAGCUCACCUGACUUGUCUGUCCUCUAAUGUCUGAAGACAUCUGACCUCUGCUCUUUCAGUAAAAGCAACAAUGGUUUUAUGAGCAUUGUCGUCACAUCUCUCCACUCAAGGGAUCCUUCUCAUUUCUCCCAGCUGAGGUCACCCACAGCUGCUGCUUCUAACUGCUGGCUUCCAGCCUGCUGUCUGCCAGCUGGCUCUACCCUCUCCUAUAACACGGCAGAGAGUAGCUGUGGUCUCCUGCGUGCUCACCCUCUGCUCCCUUGGUCCUGCUCCAUGCUUUGGUCCUGCACUUAAAUUUUACAAGCAUACUCUCUUUCUCUUAAGAAUGAUUUUCAAUGCCAUUUAGAGGAAAUCUUGGGAUCAACUUGGGAAAAGACGGAGGCUCCUGGCUCUGAUCUUUGGGGACUUCAGAUUUUCUGGAUCAAGGUGAGAUACUACAAAUUUGUAAGAAGAAAAGAAAUGUUUUCUCUUUUCAGCAUAAAAGCCAUAAUGUUAAGGAUAUUAAAAAAUAUCAUGUAAUGUGCACUUUGCAUAAACUUAUCUGAAAUUUAGCAUGAAAAUUGUUUUUUACUCUGAGCUACAGGGAAGGUGUCCCAGAAGAAAUGAGGCUUGCUCACUCCAUGUUUCCAUCACCAGGGGAUUGUGUCCUGCAGGGUCACUCUGCCUGCAUUCACUAGGCCUGUUCAGUCUUAGGGAUUUGCAAAGGUUCUCCUAUCCUUCAGGACUUCUGUUUGGAUUGUUCGGAAAUGUCCUUUGUGAUUGAUGGCUCUUGCCUCAUCACCCAUUCAUGAUGAAGGGGAAUAAGCUGAUUAAACACGACAUUUUGUGAGCCCUCCAUUUCCUCUUGCUUCUUGUAUUAGUUUUCUAUGGCUACUGUAAUAAAUCAACACAAAUUUAGUGGCUUAGAACAACAUGAACUUGUUAUCUUGCAUUUCUGUAGGUUUAGAAAUCCAACACAGGUCUCACCAGGCUGAAAUCAAGUUGUUAGCAGGGCUACGUUCCCUUCUGGAGGCCCUGGGGGAAAGCUGUCCCCUUGCCUUUUCCAGCUUCUAAAGGCUGCACACAUUCCUUGGCUUCUAGCCCCUUCUUUACAUCAUCAAAGCCAGCAUUGUUGCAUCUCCCUGAAGGUCCUUGAAGUGUAAACCCAUUCUUCAGUUCUUAUCAUUCCACUAACUGCCCCUUACUGCCUCACUUUUCUACCUUUAAGGACCCUUAUGAUUACAUCAGGACCACCCAGAUAAUCCUUGAUACUCUCCUCAUCUCAAGGCCCUUAACUUCAUCAUAUCUGCAAAGUCCCUCUUGCAAUGUAAGCUAACAUAGUCACAUGUUCCCGAGAUUAGGAUGUAGGUAUCUUUGAGGGAGGGCAUUAUUCUACCUACCACUCUUCUUAUUAAGAUUAUGUAUUUCUUUAAAAAUUAAGAAACAUAAAGUUUAUUGCUAUAUUAUAAUUUUCAUCAUGAUAAAGUCAAGGUUGAAGUGCAAUAGAUUAUUUGUAAAAAUGGUCACAAUAAUUUCCUGUCUUAUUGGGCAUGGCAGCUCAUGCUGAGGUUGGGGGAAGGAUUGCUUGAAGUAAGGAAUUCAAGACCAGCCUAGGCAACUAAGAGAGAUUCCAUCUCUUCAAUUUUUUUUUUUUUUUUUUUUCUGAGACAGGAUCUUAAUCUGUUGCCCAGGCUGGAGUGCAGAGGCAUGAGCUUGGCCUUCUGCAACCUCUGCCUCCUAGUCUCAGGUGAUCCUCCCACCUCAGCCUCCUGAGUAGCUACAGGUACAUGCCACCACACCUGGCUAAUUUUUUAAAAAUUCUUUUGCCCAGGCUGGUCUUGAACUCCUGAGCUCCUGUGAUCUGCCUGCCUCAGCCUCCCACAGUGCUGGGAUUACAGGCAUGAGCCACCAUGCCUGGCCAAAACAUUUUUAAAAAAAUGAUUUCCUUUCCUUUCCUGUAUCCACACCCUUAUGAAAUCCCCUCUCAUGUGGACUUUGAGCUUGGCCAUAUGACAUACUUUGGCCAGUGAGACUACUGCAAACAUGAUGGAAGCGGAUACUUAAAAAGUACUUGCACACUGGGACUUGCCUUCUCUUGCUACUCUUAAGCCCUUUCUGACUACCAUGUGAAGAGGCCUGGUGCAUAUACUAAGUGAGAAGAUACAUGUGACCUAGGCACCUUUGUCAUCAAGCCAACAGCUAACACUGGGAGGUAGCACCAAUCACUAAGCAGCACAAGCCACCAGACAUUUAGAUGAGGCCACCUGAGAUCAUCCAGGCAGCAGCUGACCCGGCAGAAACCACAGGUAUGUGAAAGAGGCCAGCAGAGGGAAGACAAGCUGGGCCAGAACAGAAGAAUUGUCCAGCUGAACAACAGAAUUGUGAACUAAAUUAAAUUUUGGGGGGAUGGUUGGCUGUGUGGCAAAGGUUAAUUAAUGUGGGAAGGGAUAGGUAAACUAGAAACCAAAGUUGAGAAUAAGGUUGAAUAAACGAAAGUUUAGUUGCAAGGGAGUGGUGACAAAGAAGAGCCCUUAAAGGCAAAAUCAUAGACAACGUUUUUUGGAGAGAUCAUUUGCACAAGUACAGUAGAGGCCCCUCCUUCCUCCUCCACCUUCAUGCCCUGACUCUGUGGACGUUCAGUGUCACAAGAAAUGCUCCAAUAAUCCCUUUCAUGGAAUGAUAUAAUGUCAUAAGAAGGAGCAUAAAAAUUCCCUGUUCUGAUUUUCCUAUUUAAUGGGAAGCUCAAAAAGACAAAAUGGCUUGCCCAUUUCAUCCUGAAAGUUUAGCUUAUACAGUGAUAUGCCACAUAAUGAUAUUUUUGGGUCUACAAUGGACCUCAUAUAUGACAGGUGGUCCCAUAAGAUUGUAAUGGAGCUGAAAAAUUCCUAUUGCCUUGUGACCUCGUAGCCAUCAUAAUGUUGUAGCACAAUGCAUUACAUUUGUGGUGAUGCUGAUAGAAACAAACCAACUGUGCUGCCAGGUGUAUCAAAGUAUAGAACAUGCAAUUAUGUACAGUAUAUAAUACUUGACAAUGAUAAUAAAUGACUAUGUUGCUGGUUUGUGUAUUUACUUUUUAUCAUUAUUUUAGAGUGUUCUCCUUCUACUUAUUAAAAAAAAAUAACUGGAAAACAGCCUUAGGCAGGUCCUUCAGGAGUAUUCCAGAAGAAAGCAUUGUUAUCAUAAGAGAUGACAGCUCCAUGCCUGUUAUUGCCCCUGAAGACCUUCCCGUGGAACAAGAUCUGGAGGUGGAAGACAGUGAUAUUGAUGAUCCUUAUUCUGUGUAGGCCUAGGCUAAUGUAUAUAUUUAUGUCUUAGUUUUUAACAAAAAAAGCUUAAAAAGUGAAAGAAUGAGAAAAUUUAGAAGUAGAAAAAAGCUUAUAGAAUAAGGAUAUAAAGAAAGAAAAUAUUUUUGUACAGCUGUACAAUGUGUUGUUUGUGUUUUAAGGUGGGUGUUAUUACAAAAGAGUCAAAAAGAAAAAAUUAAAAAUUUUAUAAAAAAUUACAGUAAGCUAAUGUUAAUUUAUUAUUGAAGAAAGAAAAAUAUUCUUUUAUAAGUUUAGUGUAGCCUAAGUGUACAGUGUUUAUAUAUAAAAUCUACAGUAGUGUAGAGCAAUGUCCUAGGCCUUCACAUUUACUCGCCACUUACUCACUGAUGCCUACAGCAAUUUCCAGUUCUGCAAGUUCUAUUCAUGAUAAGUGCCCUAACUGUACAGGUGUAGCAUUUAACAAUUUUUUAUAUAUUUGCACUGUUCCUUUUCUAUGUUUAGAUGUGUUUAGAUAGACAGAUCUUUAUCAUUGUGUUACAAUUGCCUGCAGAAUUCAAUAUAGUAACAUGCUGUACAGGCUUGUAGCCUAGGAGUGAUAGGCUAUACCAUAUAGCCUAGGUGUCUAGCAGGCUAUACCAUCCAGGUUUGUGUAAGUACACUCUUAUAUUGUUCACACAAUUACAAAAUUACCUAAUGAUGCAUUUCUUAGAACAUAUGCCUGUCAUUAAGUGAUGCAUGACUUUAUUUGCUUUAUUUGUAAUGAAAUGAAUAUGUUUCCUGGCUUUUUUUUUUUUUUUUUUUUUGAGAACACUCAACACCUAUCUUGCAGGAGAAUAUUGUGUUUGUUUUUCUUUUCAUUCCUAUGUCUCCUGUUAUAGUCUCAGGAUGGGUGAAGUUUUAGUGAGAAGCUCAGUGGCAAGGAGACAAUAUGACUCUUCCAUGGUCAGUAUACCCACAGAAACACUUUUUCCUCAAUCUCAGGAGAAAAAUGAGCCAAAUAUGGAGGAUCCCAUCAGCUGCAGCAAAGCUACUGGCCAUGAAGGGAAGUGAGAGAAGCAAAGAGAAGAGUGAAGCAGAAUGGGAAGGAAAAUGAUGAUUCUAUGGGCACCAAUCAUGUGAUUUUUUUUUUUUCUCUUUGAAAGAUAACCUUCGGCUUAUUAAUUUUAUCAUCUCUUUUCCAAUAUUGAACCCUCAGCCUCUAAGGAUCAGCCGGGUGUAGACUCAGCAUGAUGGCCUGGCCUGCUAUCUAGCAGGGUCCCCUCAAGGCUAUGGUGGAAGGACUCGCUCAGGGCCUAGGAAGCUCUGUUGCAGUUUCCAUUCUUACAUUCCACCUUCUCUUAUGACCUACUCUCCAGCUAUACUGGAUAUGCUAGUCUUUUUCACACUUUGUGCUUUUGCUGUAUUGUUUCCCUCAUCCUAGAGUAUGCUUUUCCUGUUUGUCUGCCUGGUGAGAUAUUAUGAUCUUCAAAUGUGCCUCAUGGAAGCCUUCUCUGAUUCUUCCAGGCUGAGUUAUUUAUUUAUUUCUCCUACAGUUUCUGAACUGUGACUCACUAGUUCUACUUGGUAUGGCAACAUGAUCAUCUGGCGUUGCUAGAGAGUCUCACCUUUAAAGAGUCAUAUUAAGUUUAUUUACAGGACCUAGUGUUGGAUUACCUGAUCACGUAGCAAUUACAACUUCUUUUAUAAUUUACGCCCAAACCUUUAGGUGAGUCUUCUUGAGGCUUUACCAAGGAAACAGGCAGUUUUAGAGUUGGCCUUAAGGAUGUUCUCUGGUGUCAUCAAAGAAAUGGAAAUGCAAAGCAGAGACAUGUGCAUUUAGAUAUGUGUAAGACUGUAGACUAUUUUUAGUGGAAAAUGGCUGCUGAGUGUGUGGAAAGAGUAUAAAAGAUUUCAGUGGGAAGAUUCUACAAUCAUUUGAGAUUCUCCAUUGCUGGAAAAUUCUCAAAUUAGGCUUAUGAAGGCAAUUUGAUUUAGCAAACAGCUCUCUGGACCAAGCAAAUCUUCUCAGCAGGGAUGGAAUUUGAACUGCACUUGUCCCUGGUUCUCACCUUCCCUGAGAAGCAGUGCAUCUGCAGUGUCCCAGGUGAUGCCCCCCACAGGCCUUGAAGCUUGUCUUCCAGAAGAGCCUUCAUUUCAGGGGCAGCAUUCCAGGAAGCACGCCCAUGAAACACUCAUGAGGAGGAACUGGGCUGCCAAUUAUGACUUGUCACUGCUCCAUCAACAUAAAAGCUCGGCAGCACUCAGAUGGCUCUUGAAAAUCUUUGAGAUAUAAUCUGAAAGGAGGUCCCAGUUUCUGCCCCGGGCUGUUUGCAUCAUCAACCUGCAAAAUUCCAAUCUUGGAACUUGCUGAGAUUUUCAUUCUGAGACUCUCUGCCCUGGGCCUUGAGGAUAGCCAGAAGAAUACUAUAUUUCUUCUGCCUCUCUUUCUCUUUCUAUCUAAAGAGGUCAGGAUUAUAUAUCCACUUUGCUGAAUAUAGAAUCAAACCCAAUUGCCAUCAGCAAGUGCUGUAUAUCACCUACCACACCUGGGACCAGGCAUCAACAAGACCUUGACAGGGCCAGAAGCCUCAAGCCCUCAUUGCCAAGCCCAUUAAAAUCAGGAACUCAAUCUCAUUAAGGAAGGAGUGCAAUGGAUAUAGCCAGACAGGAGGAUUUCCACUUCAGUAUUAUCCUGAAUAGUGAACAACCAUCUCUGCUUUUCUCAGGGAGAAAGAUGUGGUAACAGUCACAAUGAUAGUAGACGAUGGUGACUGUUUAAUUUGUCAUGGCUAACAUAUAUGGUUAGCAAAUUGAGUUUCCUUUUAGGUAUAGUCUGAAUUGAACUGAAGUUCAUUAUAAUUCCCCUAAGUUGAUCUGUGAGGGCAUUUUAGCCUUCUUGGUAAAAUUAAAUAAUAUCAGUCAAAAAGGCUGUUAAACCAAUUCUUACACUUGAAAGCUUCCAGUUAUUCUAAUAAUUUGGAAUCUGUGUCUCCCCCUCUGUGGCAAUGAGGCUGUUGCUUGCUUUUCCCAAGAGACUGUAUUGCAUCUUUCUUGUUUUCUGAGAUGAGAAACAACCUCAAGGUCAUGCCCAGUGAUAUGGUUUGGCUCUGUGCCCCCACCCAAAUCUCAUCCCGAAUUGUAAUCCCCACAUGUCGGAGGAGGGGCUUGGUGGGAGGUGACUGGAUUAUGGGGGUGUAUUUACCCCUUGUUUUCAUGAUAGUGAGUUCUCAUGAGAUUUGAUGGUUUAAAACUGUGUGGCACCGCCCCCUGCAAGCUCCCUCUCUCUCCUGCCACCAAGUAAGACGUGCCUUGCUUCUUCUUUGCCUUCUGCCAUGAUUGUAAGUUUUCUGAGGCUUCCCCAGCCAUGCAGAACUGUGUGUCAAUUAAACCUUUUUUCUUUAUAAAUUACUCAGUCUCAGGUAUGUCUUUAUAGCACUGUGAAAACGGACUAAUACACUCAGCCUGUUCUGCAGAAUUGAGGAGCAUGGUCUUGGUCUUUGUUCUGUUUAAACAGCUAUCUAUCAUAAUGCUUAAGGAAAAAUAUCAAUGUAUACUACUUUUCACGAUGUUUCUUUUUUAUGAUUUUUAAAACAACUCAUGCUCAUUGUGGAAAGUGUGAAAAUAUAGACAACUUUUUUUUCUUUUUUUUUUGAGACGGAGUCUUGGUCUGUUGCCUAGGCUGCAGUGCAGUGGCACGAUCUUGGCUCACUGCAAUCUCUGUCUCCUGGGUUCA